GUCAGUAACCAUAUAGAUCCAUGACUGCAACCACAACUCGAUGGCAGAGUUAAGAUGUAUUGUGGUCGCUCGGCCACCAGCAGGUGUGUGGAAUACCUGCGACACUAGUCGCACUGCAGCAGGCACUUGCAGAUAAUGAAAGGAAACAUUUAAAUAGUACAUGCGAAGGAUUGAGAUGGCGGCGGGAAUGCCUUACUGGACAAAAAAAGCCCGUUGAUCCUGCAGCUCUAAGUAGGAUAAGAAGUGCACAAUAUGGAUGGAUAGCUGAAAUAUGUUUAUUGGUCUUUGAAGAAGAAGAAGACAGAAUUUGGAUGUCUUCAGAUUUUCAACAACAAGAGCGUUUUCAUCUGGAGAAAAUUCUUUUCUGUUGAUGAAAAGGAUGAUAAUGGAUACAGAGUGAGUGUGGGUGUGUGCAUCAUUGCACCCUGUGAUUAUUUUGCAUCCUAUUCUGGAAUAAUGUCUGCCUUGUACUACACACUGCCCGGGUAAAGAAAAUGAAUGAGUUAAUAAGGGUACAUCCAGCCUUUUAUCCAAAUCAAACUAUUACAAGGUUGUGCAGUGGUGUUCCAGAGUUGUUUGCUAUGUCACCUGCAAAGUAUCACUCAGAGCAGUGCUCCCACUCUCUCUAGCACCAUUCGAGCAAGCAUGUAUCUCAAUAAUCAAAGCUGCCAUUUCUACUGCUGCAAAAAAACACCUGAAUCUAUGUGAAUCUACAUAUUGAUAACAGUCUGAAUAUCAAGAAGAAAAUGGAAGUAACACAAUAAUGAAUGACAGAAGUCGAAGCAGUUUCUUUCUUGAUUAUUUUGCAAUAUAAAUGUAUGUUUGGUGUUCUUGUUCUUAUAGUGUUCUUACUAUUAUUGGGGUAGUAGUAAAGCUUGGUGUGGAGAGUUUUUAAUAAAAUCAGUGUCUGUACUUGAUUUGUGAAGUUUGUGUUCUCCCUGUGUUCCUAUUGUUCUUAUUUCACAAUCUGAUGAAAUGCUGACAGUCUCUUUGAUGUCCUAAGACUUUAUCUACCCAUUCAAUUUUUAACAUACUUGAUGCAGACUGAAUUUUGUAACAUCUAUGAAGUCCAGUUUUUUAACUGACACUGAGAACCACAUUUGCACAUUAAUGGCAUUUGCAGUGAGAAUAUGAUUUUUUUUUUCAAACCUACUAGGAAGCAGAUUUUUUUUUUUAUCUCACUCCCUUUGUGAUAGGACUGAAUGGUGUCUUCAACUUGCACCUCAAAGAAGGAGUUAACAAUAAUAGAUGAAAAGUUGAUGAUAAUAAAAAUCGGAAAACUUUCAGGGAAAUGAUGUGUUUAAUUGGAAUUUAUGGGAGCAAGGCUAGUCCACUGUUAAAAAAAUACAUUGUUUUGCUGUUGGCGUGGAUCGAAAGGGCCAAAAAUCAUCAUGUUUGCAGUGGCAAAAGAAAGUUAAAACAUAAUAUGAUAACAUAAGGCAUUUUACAAGUGAGAGUAAACCAUUCAGUCAAUCAAACUUGUUGGGUCAGCUAAUAGCUACAUUGUCCCAGUGUCUCACCCAGAAGUUUUUUAAAAGUCAUCUGUGCUUCAAUUAAAGGACACAGUAAUUUAUUCCACUGUGUUAUGAAAUUUUUUGUUUUUGCUUUGAUAUUGAGAUUACUUCCCCUUAAUUUCCACUGGUGACUUCAAGCACGUGUUUCACCAUAUAGGAAAAAAAAAUCUGCCGAAUCAUCUAAGCUAAAUUCUUGCCUUCAGAUAUUUUGCAGACCUAGACUUUUUCCACAUAUUGCCUUCUUUGAUCUAGGCUAAAGGAAAAAAGUCAUUUUAAUAGCCAAACACCUGAUUAGCCUCUUGAGUUGAUGGAGUUCUUCAUUGUUUUGAAUGUUUACAACUAUUUUUUCUGUCUUCUGGAUAUGAGGACCAGAGUUUUCUGCCCAGUAAGGAUUGCUGGCACCUGGACUGCCACUCAUGAAAAAUUGCAAGGCAUUUCAGGAGUGAUAAAACACCCCAUGUGCACAUUAAUUUGAAAAGUGGAAAGAAGCAAUGGGACUGAAAAAGAUCAAAGGUUAAAAAGGAGAGUAUUUAAUUUAAAAAGAACCUUUCUGUCUUAUUGUGCGUCUUCCCUUUAUUCUUAUCUUCAGAUUCCCCCAAUUUUACCUCCCAUUUAUAUUUAUUUCUCUCUCUCUUUUUUGGUCCCCUUUAUACCUCUGUCCAGUGAGCUUUUGCUAAACUCACCUCCCUACCCAUUUUUACCCUAGACAUAAUGUGGCCUUUAAACGUCACCUGAAGUCCACCUCUGGGUUCAGGGUGCCUGUUAGAAAGAUAAAAAGAUGCUUGUCUCUUGGGCACCUUGCAUUGGCCCAGGCACUUCCAGGUUCUAAGUUAAAUGGUCAGGUCUCCAUGACAAAUUCAGGGCUGCUGCCUCUGUCUUUAUGGUGCCAGGCUCAAGGGAGUUCAUUUUGCCUGCCGCCUGCCUGGAAUGGUUUCAUUGGUCUAGUGCCAGCCUUCUAUGGCCUCUCUCUAUCUCUCUCAUUCUCUCUUUCUGUCUCUCAUGGAGGGCCAGUGACCUUUGAUCUCUGCAGGAUCAUCUGUUCCCUGACAUCAGCAAAGAUUCACAAGUUUGUGACUAAGCUACAUUGCUGUAUACUAUAUCUAGAUGGAAUUCCACAGGAUUCAAUACAUCCACUGAUGCCCUCAAAAGUGUUACUUUCAGGGGUUAUUUAACCCUUUAUGGCACCUGCAGGCAAAGGAGCCCAGUGUAGUCCUCCAGCAUUCUCUUUGUUUUAUGUCUCUCUUAAUUACAUUGAGAAGAAAAUCUUGCAGACUUUUAAGAAGCAAUAACUAAUCCAGGAAUAAAAUACAGAUUAUUGUAUCUGAGAGCAACACUGCAUGCAGUAUCACCAUCGCAUUUGAUACCAUUGAUCACAAUAUUCUUAUAAAUCACUUUAGUCAUUUGGUGGGCCUCUCCGGCAAUGU